rnacentral:rRNA from 1 species
CCUACGGGAGGCAGCAGUGGGGAAUAUUGGGCAAUGGGCGCAAGCCUGACCCAGCAACGCCGCGUGAAGGAAGAAGGCUCUCGGGUUGUAAACUUCUUUUCUGAGGGACGAAGAAAGUGACGGUACUUCCGGUAUAAGCCACGGCUAACUAGGUGCCAGCAGCAGCGGCAAUACGUCGGUGGCAAGCGUUAUCCGGAUUUAUGGGGUGUAAAGGGCGUGUAGGCGGUAAGCAAGUCAGAUGUGAAAACUCAGGGCUCAACCCUGAGCUUGCAUUUGAAACUGUUUUUCUUGAGUGCUGGAGAGGCAAUCGGAAUUCGGGGUGUAGCGGUGAAAUGCGUAGAUAUACGGAGGAACACCAGUGGCGAAGGCGGAUUGCUGGACAGUAACUGACGCUGAGGCGCGAAAGCGUGGGGAGCAAACAGGAUUAGAUACCCCGGUAGUC